rnacentral:rRNA from 1 species
GCAGCGUUAUCCGGAAUCAUUGGGCGUAAAGCGUCUGUAGGUUGUUGAAUAAGUCUGUUGUUAAAGACUAGGGCUUAACCCUAGAGAAGCAAUGGAAACUACUAGACUUGAGUAUGGCAGGGGUAGAGGGAAUUUCUAGUGUAGCGGUGAAAUGCGUAGAUAUUAGAAAGAACACCGGUGGCGAAAGCGCUCUACUGGACCAUUACUGACACUCAGAGACGAAAGCUAGGGUAGCAAAAGGGAUUAGAUACCCCUGUAGUCCUAGCCGUAAACGAUGGAUACUAGAUGUUGUGUUUAAUAUGCAGUAUCGUAGCUAACGCGUUAAGUAUCCCGCCUGGGGAGUACGCUCGCAAGGGUGAAACUCAAAGGAAUUGACGGGGGCCCGCACAAGCGGUGGAGCAUGUGGUUUAAUUCGAUGCAACGCGAAGAACCUUACCAGGACUUGACAUACUACAAAUUUCUUUGAAAAAAGGAAGUGCCUUCGGGAAUGUAGAUACAGGUGGUGCAUGGCUGUCGUCAGCUCGCGUCGUGAGAUGUUGGGUUAAGUCCCGCAACGAGCGCAACCCUUAUUUUUAGUUACUAAUUAAUUAGGUUUUCUAGAAAGACUGCCGGUGACAAACCGGAGGAAGGUGAGGAUGACGUCAAGUCAGCAUGCCCCUUAUGUCCUGGGCUACACACGUGCUACAAUGGUUAAAACAAAGGGUCGCGAGCUUGUGAGAGUCAGCUAAUCCCAUAAAUUUAGCCUAAGUUCAGAUUGUAGGCUGCA